AUUGAACGCUGGCGGCAUGCCUUACACAUGCAAGUCGAACGGCAGCACGGGAGCAAUCCUGGUGGCGAGUGGCGAACGGGUGAGUAAUACAUCGGAACGUGCCCAGUCGUGGGGGAUAACGUAGCGAAAGCUACGCUAAUACCGCAUACGAUCUGUGGAUGAAAGCGGGGGUCCGUAAGGCCUCGCGCGAUUGGAGCGGCCGAUGUCAGAUUAGGUAGUUGGUGGGGUAAAGGCCCACCAAGCCGACGAUCUGUAGCUGGUCUGAGAGGAUGAUCAGCCACACUGGAACUGAGACACGGUCCAGACUCCUACGGAGGCAGCAGUGGGGAAUAUUGGACAAUGGGCGGCAAGCCUGAUCCAGCCAUGCCGCGU
rnacentral:rRNA from 1 species